UUCUCGUACGAUCACCGAAGUUAAGCAACAUUGAGCAGCGUCAGUAGUUAGAUGGGUGACCGCUUGGGACUACCAGGUGUUGUAA